rnacentral:pre_miRNA from 1 species
UAUUAAAAAUUCAUCUAUUUCUAUUAUUACAAACUGGCAUGUUUGGUGGAAUAAUCAGACAGUUAUACAUAGUGUGCCACACCUCAUGCUAACGUACAAAAACCGGUUUUUAACAGUAAAAUUAAAUGGAAUUUUUAAUA